rnacentral:rRNA from 1 species
GACGAACGCUGGCGGCGUGCCUAAUACAUGCAAGUCGAGCGAAUCUUUAGGAGCUUGCUCCUGAAGAUUAGCGGCGGACGGGUGAGUAACACGUGGGCAACCUGCCUGUAAGACUGGGAUAACUUCGGGAAACCGGAGCUAAUACCGGAUAAUCCUUUCCUUCACAUGAAGGAAAGCUGAAAGACGGUUUCGGCUGUCACUUACAGAUGGGCCCGCGGCGCAUUAGCUAGUUGGUGAGGUAACGGCCCACCAAGGCGACGAUGCGUAGCCGACCUGAGAGGGUGAUCGGCCACCGUGGGACUGAGACACGGCCCAGACUCCUACGGGAGGCAGCAGUAGGGAAUCUUCCGCAAUGGACGAAAGUCUGACGGAGCAACGCCGCGUGAGCGAAGAAGGCCUUCGGGUCGUAAAGCUCUGUUGUCAGGGAAGAACAAGUACCGGAGUAACUGCCGGUACCUUGACGGUACCUGACCAGAAAGCCACGGCUAACUACGUGCCAGCAGCCGCCGUAACAC